UGGGGAAUUUUGGACAAUGGGCGAAAGCCUGAUCCAGCAAUGCCGCGUGUGUGAAGAAGGCCUUCGGGUUGUAAAGCACUUUUGUCCGGAAAGAAAUCCUCUGGGUUAAUACCUCGGGGGAUGACGGUACCGGAAGAAUAAGCACCGGCUAACUACGUGCCAGCAGCCGCGGUAAUACGUAGGGUGCAAGCGUUAAUCGGAAUUACUGGGCGUAAAGCGUGCGCAGGCGGUUUUGUAAGACGGAUGUGAAAUCCCCGGGCUUAACCUGGGGACUGCAUUCGUGACUGCAAGGCUAAAGUAUGGCAGAGGGGGGUAGAAUUCCACGUGUAGGCAGUGAAAUGCGUAGAGAUGUGGAGGAAUACCGAUGGCGAAGGCAGCCCCCUGGGCCAAUACUGACGCUCAUGCACGAAAGCGUGGGGAGCAAACAGGAUUAGAUACCCUGGUAGUCCACGCCCUAAACGAUGUCAACUAGUUGUUGGGGAUUCAUUUCCUUAGUAACGUAGCUAACGCGUGAAGUUGACCGCCUGGGGAGU
rnacentral:rRNA from 1 species